rnacentral:SRP_RNA from 1 species
GCCGGGCGCAGUGGCGUGUGCCUGUAGUCCCAGCUACUCGGGAGGCUGAGGUGGGAGGAUCUCUUGAGUCCAGGAGUUCUGGGCUGUAGUGCGCUAUGCCGAUGGGGUGUCCGCACUAAGUUCGGCAUCAAUAUGGUGACCUCCCGGGAGCGGGGAGCCACCAGGUUGCCUAAGGAGGUGUGAACCGGCCCAGGUCAGAAACGGAGCAGGUCAAAACUCCCGUGCUGAUCAGUAGAACAGACUCCAAAGUCCUGAGUGCCCAAGAAAAACUGAUAUGCUCACUGGACCACCCCCCUAUAUAAACCCAGUCCCUU